rnacentral:misc_RNA from 1 species
UGUGGGAGCGAGCUUGCUCGCGAUAGCGCAGCUUCAGUCAACGCCUCAUUGACUGACACACUGCCAUCGCGAGCAAGCUCGCUCCCACA